GAUGAACGCUAGCUACAGGCUUAACACAUGCAAGUCGAGGGGUAACGAGAGGAAAGCUUGCUUUCCUUGUCGACGACCGGCGCACGGGUGAGUAACGCGUAUCCAACCUGCCCCCAACUAGGGAAUAACCUUGCGAAAGUAAGACUAAUACCCUAUAAUUUCCUCAGAUGUCAUCUGACGAGGAAUAAAGAUUUAUCGGUUGUGGAUGGGGAUGCGUCUGAUUAGCUUGUUGCCGGGGUAACGGCCCACCAAGGCAACGAUCAGUAGGGGUUUUGAGAGGAAGGUCCCCCACGUUGGAACUGAGACACGGUCCAAACUCCGACGGGAGGCAGCAGUGAGGAAUAUUGGUCAAUGGGCGGAAGCCUGAACCAGCCAAGUAGCGUGCAGGAUGACGGCCCUAUGGGUUGUAAACUGCUUUUAUACAGGAAUAAAGUUAGCCACGUGUGGUUAUUUGUAGGUACUGUAUGAAUAAGGACCGGUUAAUUCCGUGCCAGCAGCCGCCGUAA
rnacentral:rRNA from 1 species